rnacentral:rRNA from 1 species
CGAAGACAACUAGGAUGUUGGCUCAGAAGCAGCCAUACAUUCAAAGAGUGCGUAACAGCUCACUAGUCGAGAGUUCCUGCGCCGAAAAUGUCCGGGGCUGAAACACGACACCGAAGCCGUGGACUCGCAAUGCGAGUGGUAGAGGAGCAUUCUUAAAACCGACGAAGCUGUACCGGAAGGAGCAGUGGAGGGAUAAGAAGAGAGAAUGCCGGAAUGAGUAGCGAGAGAAAGGUGGGAAUCCUUUCGGCCGAAUAUCUAAGGUUUCCAGAGUAAAGCUGAUCUGCUCUGGGUAAGUCGGGGCCUAAGCACAGGUCGCAAGACGUAAGCGAUGGAUAACAGGUUUAGAUUCCUGUACCACGCAUUAUCAGAACUGUAGGGACGCAUGUGGAAAGCACGGGCCGGGAAUGGAAAGACCGGUACAAGCGGGGUAGGUGUACAAUAGGCAAAUCCGUUGUAUAAUCCGAAGACGUGAUGUGGAGCGAAAUAAAGUAGUGAAGCGUGUGAGCCAUGUGCCGAGAAAAGCUGCUAUUGUGUAAUGCGUGCCCGUACCGUAAACCGACACAGGUGGAUGAGGAGAGAAUCCUAAGGCCGACGGAAGAAGCAUUGUUAAGGAACUCGGCAAAAUGACCCCGUAACUUCGGGAGAAGGGGUGCCUCGAAGGAGGCCGCAGAGAAUUGGCCCAAGCAACUGUUUAGCAAAAACACAGGUCUAUGCAAAACCGAAAGGUGAGGUAUAUGGGCUGACGCCUGCCCGGUGCUGGAAGGUUAAGGGGAGAGGUUAGCGCAAGCGAAGCUUUGAACUUAAGCCCCAGUAAACGGCGGCCGUAACUAUAACGGUCCUAAGGUAGCGAAAUUCCUUGUCGGGUAAGUUCCGACCCGCACGAAAGGCGUAAUGAUUUGGGCACUGUCUCAACAAUGCACCCGGUGAAAUUGAAAUACCAGUGAAGAUGCUGGUUACCUGCGCCAGGACGGAAAGACCCCAUGGAGCUUUACUCCAGCUUGAUACUGGGAUUCGGUAUUGCAUGUACAGGAUAGGUGGGAGGCUAGGAAAUGGUAACGCCAGUUGCCAUGGAGCCGCUGUUGGGAUACCACCCUUGCAGUACUGGGUUUCUAACCAGCAGCCGUGAUCCGGCUGGGGGACAAUGUCAGGUGGGGAGUUUGACUGGGGCGGUCGCCUCCGAAAGGGUAUCGGAGGCGCUCAAAGGU